UUUGCCUACGGGACGCAGCAGUGAGGAAUAUUGGUCAAUGGUCGGGAGACUGAACCAGCCAAGCCGCGUGAGGGAGGAAGGUACAGAGUAUCGUAAACCUCUUUUGUCAGGGAACAAAGACUGGGACGCGUCCCCGGAUGAGUGUACCUGAAGAAAAAGCAUCGGCUAACUCCGUGCCAGCAGCCGCGGUAAUACGGAGGAUGCGAGCGUUAUCCGGAUUUAUUGGGUUUAAAGGGUGCGUAGGCGGGACCUUAAGUCA
rnacentral:rRNA from 1 species